GACGAACGCUGGCGGCGUGCUUAACACAUGCAAGUCGAGCGAGGCCCCUCCUUCGGGAGGGUGUCCUAGCGGCGAACGGGUGAGUAACACGUGGGCAACCUGCCCUCAGCUCUGGGAUAACCCCAAGAAAUUGGGGCUAAUACCGGAUAUGACCGCUGACCGCAUGGUCUGGUGGUGGAAAGAUUUAUCGGCUGGGGGUGGGCCCGCGGCCUAUCAGCUUGUUGGUGGGGUAGUGGCCUACCAAGGCGACGACGGGUAGCCGGCCUGAGAGGGUGACCGGCCACACUGGGACUGAGACACGGCCCAGACUCCUACGGGAGGCAGCAGUGGGGAAUAUUGCGCAAUGGGCGGAAGCCUGACGCAGCGACGCCGCGUGGGGGAUGACGGCCUUCGGGUUGUAAACCUCCUUCAGCAGGGACGAAGCGAGAGUGACGGUACCUGCAGAAGAAGCACCGGCCAACUACGUGCCAGCAGCCGCCGUAACAC
rnacentral:rRNA from 1 species